rnacentral:rRNA from 1 species
GACGAACGCUGGCGGCGUGCCUAAUACAUGCAAGUUGAGCGCUGAAGGUUGGUCCUUGUACCAACUGGAUGAGCAGCGAACGGGUGAGUAACGCGUGGGGAAUCUGCCUUUGAGCGGGGGACAACAUUUGGAAACGAAUGCUAAUACCGCAUAAAAACUUUAAACACAAGUUUUAAGUUUGAAAGAUGCAAUUGCAUCACUCAAAGAUGAUCCCGCGUUGUAUUAGCUAGUUGGUGAGGUAAAGGCUCACCAAGGCGAUGAUACAUAGCCGACCUGAGAGGGUGAUCGGCCACAUUGGGACUGAGACACGGCCCAAACUCCUACGGGAGGCAGCAGUAGGGAAUCUUCGGCAAUGGACGAAAGUCUGAACGAGCAACGCCGCGGGAGUGAAGAAGGUUUUCGGAUCGUAAAACUCUGUUGGUAGAGAAGAACGUUGGUGAGAGUGGAAAGCUCAUCAAGUGACGGUAACUACCCAGAAAGGGACGGCUAACUACGUG